rnacentral:misc_RNA from 1 species
GAUGAAGAACGCAGCAAAAUGCGAUAAGUAAUGUGAAUUGCAGAAUUCAGUGAAUCAUCGAAUCUUUGAACGCACAUUGCGCCCGCUGGUAUUCCGGCGGGCAUGCCUGUUCGAGCGUCAUUUCAACCCUCAAGCCCCCGGGUUUGGUGUUGGGGAUCGGCUCUGCCCUUCUGGGCGGUGCCGCCCCCGAAAUACAUUGGCGGUCUCGCUGCAGCCUCCAUUGCGUAGUAGCUAACACCUCGCAACUGGAACGCGGCGCGGCCAUGCCGUAAAACCCCAACUUCUGAAUGUUGACCUCGGAUCAGGUAGGAAUACCCGCUGAACUUAAGCAUAUCAAUAAACGGAGGA